AAAUUGAAGAGUUUGAUCAUGGCUCAGAUUGAACGCUGGCGGCAGGCCUAACACAUGCAAGUCGAACGGUAACAGGAAGCAGCUUGCUGCUUCGCUGACGAGUGGCGGACGGGUGAGUAAUGUCUGGGAAACUGCCUGAUGGAGGGGGAUAACUACUGGAAACGGUGGCUAAUACCGCAUAACGUCGCAAGACCAAAGAGGGGGACCUUCGGGCCUCUUGCCAUCAGAUGUGCCCAGAUGGGAUUAGCUUGUUGGUGAGGUAACGGCUCACCAAGGCGACGAUCCCUAGCUGGUCUGAGAGGAUGACCAGCCACACUGGAACUGAGACACGGUCCAGACUCCUACGGGAGGCAGCAGUGGGGAAUAUUGCACAAUGGGCGCAAGCCUGAUGCAGCCAUGCCGCGUGUAUGAAGAAGGCCUUCGGGUUGUAAAGUACUUUCAGCGGGGAGGAAGGUGUUGCGGUUAAUAACCGCAGCAAUUGACGUUACCCGCAGAAGAAGCACCGGCUAACUCCGUGCCAGCAGCCGCGGUAAUACGGAGGGUGCAAGCGUUAAUCGGAAUUACUGGGCGUAAAGCGCACGCAGGCGGUCUGUCAAGUCGGAUGUGAAAUCCCCGGGCUCAACCUGGGAACUGCAUUCGAAACUGGCAGGCUUGAGUCUUGUAGAGGGGGGUAGAAUUCCAGGUGUAGCGGUGAAAUGCGUAGAGAUCUGGAGGAAUACCGGUGGCGAAGGCGGCCCCCUGGACAAAGACUGACGCUCAGGUGCGAAAGCGUGGGGAGCAAACAGGAUUAGAUACCCUGGUAGUCCACGCCGUAAACGAUGUCUACUUGGAGGUUGUGCCCUUGAGGCGUGGCUUCCGGAGCUAACGCGUUAAGUAGACCGCCUGGGGAGUACGGCCGCAAGGUUAAAACUCAAAUGAAUUGACGGGGGCCCGCACAAGCGGUGGAGCAUGUGGUUUAAUUCGAUGCAACGCGAAGAACCUUACCUGGUCUUGACAUCCACGGAACUUUCCAGAGAUGGAUUGGUGCCUUCGGGAACCGUGAGACAGGUGCUGCAUGGCUGUCGUCAGCUCGUGUUGUGAAAUGUUGGGUUAAGUCCCGCAACGAGCGCAACCCUUAUCCUUUGUUGCCAGCGAUUCGGUCGGGAACUCAAAGGAGACUGCCAGUGAUAAACUGGAGGAAGGUGGGGAUGACGUCAAGUCAUCAUGGCCCUUACGACCAGGGCUACACACGUGCUACAAUGGCGCAUACAAAGAGAAGCGACCUCGCGAGAGCAAGCGGACCUCAUAAAGUGCGUCGUAGUCCGGAUUGGAGUCUGCAACUCGACUCCAUGAAGUCGGAAUCGCUAGUAAUCGUGGAUCAGAAUGCCACGGUGAAUACGUUCCCGGGCCUUGUACACACCGCCCGUCACACCAUGGGAGUGGGUUGCAAAAGAAGUAGGUAGCUUAACCUUCGGGAGGGCGCUUACCACUUUGUGAUUCAUGACUGGGGUGAAGUCGUAACAAGGUAACCGUAGGGGAACCUGCGGUUGGAUCACCUCCUUA
rnacentral:rRNA from 3 species